GUCUACGGCCAUACCACCCUGAAUGCACCCAAUCUCGUCUGAUCUUGGAAGCUAAGCAGGAUCGGGCCUGGUUAGUAAAUGGAUCUGAAGACUCAUGGUAGCUGUAAUAA
ensembl:rRNA 5S_rRNA 5S ribosomal RNA